AAGUCGUAACAAGGUUUCCGUAGGUGAACCUGCGGAAGGAUCAUUAGUGAACGCCCUCACGGGCUUAUAACUAUUCCAAACCUCUGUGAACCGUGCCCUUCGGGGCUAUUUUACAAACAUGGUGUAAUGAACGUCAUAUAUCAUAACAAAACAAAACUUUCAACAACGGAUCUCUUGGCUCUCGCAUCGAUGGAGAACGCAGCGAAAUGCGAUAAGUAAUGUGAAUUGCAGAAUUCAGUGAAUCAUCGAAUCUUUGAACGCACCUUGCGCCCUCUGGUAUUCCGGAGGGCAUGCCUGUUUGAGUGUCAUGUAGACUCAAUCCCUCGGGUUUCCGAGGAGAUUGGACUUGGGUGUUGCCGCUCUGCCGGCUCGCCUUAAAAGACUUAGCGGGAUAGCACCGUAGUCGGCGUAAUAAGUUUCGUCGGUGAAGGUUGUGAUGACUGCUUACAAUCGCCCUUGGGCAAUUUUUGACUCUGACCUCAAAUCAGGUAGGACUACCCGCUGAACUUAA
rnacentral:rRNA from 1 species